ACAACAAUUUGAAAUGCAUUCAUGUAAGACCCUUUGAGAUAUGUGUUUGGAACACCGUGAUGUGGUCAGACUGGAGGCUGUGUGUGUGAAGGUUUGUGUAUGCUUCAGGAGUGGAAAACUGUUUCUGUUAUGAUUGCAAAAUUACAAAAACAUGCUUGGGUCUACAUUACGCUACAUUAAAAAGUACCCAGAAAAUACCCAGCAAGUAAUAAAUUGAUUUUUUUUUCUUUUUUCACUCAGGCAGAGUAUCCAGCCUUGCAGAUAGUUUGGCUUUUACAGUGUCCAGGUUACCCCCUGUGGUUCAUUGCUCCCCAUGCCAUGUUGUCUCUGCUGGUCCCCUGGCAACCUUACUGUGACAACAGUGAUUAGUUGGACCGAAGAGUCAACGUCCAUGUUCGAGAAACGGUGGCUUCGUGCAUCACGUUGCAUACAGCAGUGCUGAGACUUUAGAGAGGAUAAACAUCCUCUGUACAUCAGCGGUACGUGACAGCUGUGGUGCUUUGUGAUCUACAGGGCUGGACUGGCGCCAGAAUAAAACACACCAUAUACGCAGCUGUGGAGGAGGAAAGAGCUAAGGAUGCUUAUCCCACGUGAUGAUGUGUAUGCUUUGCUCUGGGCAGUCUCAACCUCUGCGUGAUCAGUUUCCACUGGAACUACUUUCUGCAGAAGAAACAGUCAUUGGAUUGUAGCAGAGUUACAGGGAAACUGAUUUUGGAAAGAUGAACUGCUGAGGAAUGUUUUCUAAAAAUGUGAUUUUUCUACA